CUCUCUGUCUCUCUCUCCCCUCUACCAGAGCCUCUUUGGAGAGAGGAAUUGCGAGCAACAGUAGCAAUCAACCCACCUUCACCAGUACUGCAAUGAAGCUCCAUUUCUUCAAUAUCCGAAUUUAGGGUUUUUUUAUCUCUUCUUCUUCUGCACAAAUUCGCUGUGAAAUAAGAUUCAAAAAAGAAGACAAUUAUGGCCGCCCUUCUGGUUUCAAACCCUAGCCUUUUCUCUCCUUUCCUCGGCCGAAAACUUUCUCUUAGUAGCGAUUCAAAGAGGUCUACCGUGUGUAGCUUGCAUUUUAGGAGCCCUAGAUGCGCAGUGGAUACACCUUAUGAAGGUAUUGAUAAUGUUUAAUUUUGUUCCAGGUGGGUUAUUUAAUGCCUAGUGUUUAAUUUUGUUAGCAAUUUGAAGCUAUGUGUGUAUGUGGUAUGUUUGAGAAUAGGAAGUAGAUGUAAUUGUAUUUUUUUUUUGGCAAAUUGUGACAUUGGAAAAUUUGAAGUACCCAGUUAACACUUGGGGCUUGUUUGAUUGGGCAGGUUAUGACAUAUGAUUGGGAUUAUUAAUCCAUGGGACUCACAUUCCAUUGUUUGGCUAUAAAUUUUAUUAUUCGGAUUAGAUUCCAAUGGUCAUUUUAUUCUACAAAAUUGACCAUUUUUUAAUCAUAUUAAUUAAUAACGCAAAACGUACAUAUAAUUGGAAUUAUAUAUUUCCAAUAUCUAUUGCAAAACGAACA